rnacentral:pre_miRNA from 1 species
GCGAGGAUGAAAACACUGACUUGUAACAUCGGCUGGCCACCAGCCGAUGUUACAAGUCAGUGUUUUUAUCCUCGCA